rnacentral:rRNA from 1 species
GGGCCCGCACAAGCGGUGGAGCAUGUGGUUUAAUUCGAUGAUACGCGAGGAACCUUACCAGGGCUUAAAUGUAGUUUGACCGGUCUGGAAACAGACUUUCUCUUCGGAGCAGAUUACAAGGUGCUGCAUGGUUGUCGUCAGCUCGUGCCGUGAGGUGUUAGGUUAAGUCCUGCAACGAGCGCAACCCCUAUUCUUAGUUGCCAGCGGUUCGGCCGGGGACUCUAAGAAGACUGCCAGCGCAAGCUGAGAGGAAGGUGGGGAUGACGUCAAAUCAUCACGGCCCUUACGUCCUGGGCUACACACGUGCUACAAUGGUAGAGACAGAGGGCAGCCACCUGGUGACAGGGAGCGAAUCCUUAAACUCUAUCUCAGUUCGGAUCGAAGUCUGCAACUCGACUUCGUGAAGCUGGAAUCGCUAGUAA